rnacentral:rRNA from 1 species
GUGAACGCUGGCGGUAGGCCUAACACCUGCAAGUCGAACGGCAGCACAGUAAGAGCUUGCUCUUACGGGUGGCGAGUGGCGGACGGGUGAGGAAUACAUCGGAAUCUACUUUUUCGUGGGGGAUAACGUAGGGAAACUUACGCUAAUACCGCAUACGACCUACGGGUGAAAGCCGGGGAUCUUCGGACCUUGCGCGAUUGAAUGAGCCGAUGUCGGAUUAGCUAGUUGGCGGGGUAAAGGCCCACCAAGGCGACGAUCCGUAGCUGGUCUGAGAGGAUGAUCAGCCACACUGGAACUGAGACACGGUCCAGACUCCUACGGGAGGCAGCAGUGGGGAAUAUUGGGCAAUGGGCGCAAGCCUGAUCCAGCCAUACCGCGUGGGUGAAGAAGGCCUUCGGGUUGUAAAGCCCUUUUGUUGGGAAAGAAAAGCAGCAGGUUAAUACCCCGCUGUUCUGACGGUACCCAAAGAAUAAGCACCGGCUAACUUCGUG